CCCUUAGAUGUUCUGGGCCGCACGCGCGCUACACUGAUGAAUGCAACGAGCUCUACCCUUGACCGAAAGGCCCGGGUAAACUUGUGAAACUUCAUCGUGAUGGGGAUAGAUUACUGCAAUUAUUAAUCUUCAACGAGGAAUUCCUAGUAAGCGCGAGUCAUCAGCUCGCGUUGAUUACGUCCCUGCCCUUUGUACACACCGCCCGUCGCUCCUACCGAUUGAAUGGUCCGGUGAAAUCUUCGGAUUGCUGACCAAGAUCCAGCAAUGGAGCUUGGUUGCGAGAAGUUGAUUAAACCUUAUUAUUUAGAGGAAGGAGAAGUCGUAACA
rnacentral:rRNA from 1 species